GGGCUUGACAUCCCACGAACCUGCCGAAAGGUGGGGGUGCCUCCGGGAACCGGGAGACAGGUGGUGCAUGGCUGUCGUCAGCUCGUGUCGUGAGAUGUUGGAUUAAGUUCCGCAACGAGCGCAACCCUUACGCUUAGUUGCCAUCAUUCAGUUGGGGACUCUAGGCGGACUGCCAGUGUAUAACUGGAGGAAGGUGGGGACGACGUCAAGUCAGCAUGCCCCUUAUGCCCAGGGCUACACACGUGCUACAAUGGCCGGCACAACGGGUCGCCACACAGCGAUGUGGAGCUAAUCCCUGAAAACCGGCCCCAGUUCGGAUUGGAGGCUGCAACUCGCCUCCAUGAAGUCGGAAUCGCUAGUAAACGUGGAUCAGAAUGCCGCGUUGAACACGUUCCCGGGCCUUGUACACACCGCCCGUCACACCACCCGAGUCUGCUGUACUCGAAGUCGCUGAG
rnacentral:rRNA from 1 species